UACGGAGGGUGCAAGCGUUGUCCGGAAUCACUGGGCGUAAAGGGCGCGUAGGCGGCUCAUGAAGGCUGUGGUGAAAGUCCGGGGCUCAACCUCGGAUCGGCCGUGGCGACUCGUGGGCUGGAGCACUGUAGAGGCGGGUGGAAUUCCGGGUGUAGCGGUGGAAUGCGUAGAUAUCAGGAAGAACACCCGUGGCGAAGGCGGCUCUCUGGGACGGUACUGACGCUGAGACGCGAAAGCGUGGGGAGCAAACAGG
rnacentral:rRNA from 1 species